CCGCGGUAAUACGGAGGGUGCAAGCGUUAUUCGGAAUCACUGGGCGUAAAGGACGCGUAGGCGGGUUGCCAAGUCUGAUGUGAAAUCCUAUGGCUUAACCAUAGAACUGCAUUGGAAACUGGUAACCUAGAGUAUGGGAGGGGGAGAUGGAAUUAGUGGUGUAGGGGUAAAAUCCGUAGAUAUCACUAGGAAUACCGAARGCGAAGGCGAUCUCCUGGAACAUAACUGACGCUAAGGCGUGAAAGCGUGGGGAGCAAACRGGAUUAGAUACCCYGGUAGUCCACGCCCUAAACGAUGAACACUAGUCGUCGGGAUGCUAGUCAUCUCGGUGAUGCACUUAACAGAUUAAGUGUUCCGCCUGGGGAGUACGGUCGCAAGAUUAAAACUCAAAGGAGUUUGG
rnacentral:rRNA from 1 species